rnacentral:rRNA from 1 species
CAAGGAUUCCCCUAGUAACGGCGAGUGAAGAGGGAAGAGCCCAAGAUUGAAAGCUGGCGCCUUCGGCGUCCGCAUUGUAAUCUCAAGAAGUGUUUUCCGUUUCGGACCAUGCCUAAGUCUCUUGGAAAAGAGCAUCAUAGAGGGUGAUAAUCCCGUACAUGGCAUGGAGCGCCCGAGACUUUGUGAUACACUUUCUAAGAGUCGAGUUGUUUGGGAAUGCAGCUCAAAAUGGGUGGUAAAUGCCAUCUAAGGCUAAAUAUUGGGGAGAGACCGAUAGCGAACAAGUACAGUGAUGGAAAGAUGAAAAGAACUUUGAAAAGAGAGUUAAACAGUACGUGAAAUUGCCAAAAGGGAAGGGUAGGAGGUCAGAGAUGCGGUCUGGGAUUCAGCCUUGCUUUUGCUUGGUGUUUUUCCCAGAUGGCAGGCCAACGUCGGUUUUGGGCGCUGGAGAAGGGUGGAAGGAAUGUGGCACCCCUCGGGGUGUGUUAUAGCCUUCUACUGGAUACAGUGACCGAGACCGAGGACAGCAGCGUACUCGCAAGAGCGGGCCUUCGGGCACCUUUACGCUUAGGGCGUUGGCAUAAUGGCCCUCUACCACCCGUCUUGAAACACGGACCAAGGAGUCU